rnacentral:lncRNA from 1 species
AUCCACAAUUGCUCUUUACCCUGGUGUCAGAUAAGCUUCAGGUGAAAGAGCCAGGAACAUCACAUGACUCACAAGAAAAGACAGAGGAUAAACACUUUUUCUGAACUAGCCCUACAAUGCAUUGAACUUCGAGGGAAGGUCUGAAGAAGAGGUUGCUCUGGCAGAUCAUCCUCAUGAAAGAUAACGGCACACAGGAGAGAAAGGACGAGAGAAGCACAGAGAAGGCAGAACUCGCUCCUCGCUCUGCAGUGAUGUAUUGACAGACCUUGGGCUAAAGCGUGGUAGCUCCAGCUCCAUACCAAUUAGCCUCAGCAAAUAUUCGGGUCAAGGUGACCUGUCAGAGGAGUUCACAAAGGAGUCUCUGCAGAAGCCGCGCGUUACCUUGUACAGCACUUGCUCGCUCUGCUACAUUUAUCGUGUAUGUGCUGGAAAAGCCACUCGAACGCUGUGUAACAAGCUCAGCUGAAUGCUUCUCUGCCAAGGAUCAAGCUACACCGCACAGCAGGAUGAAUUCUGGCUCUUAGCAAAGCAAAGUGCGGCAGCACCAUCUGAUUGCUCUUCUGCAAAAAGGACCACUUGAGAGCACAACGCUCUCUCCACUGCUGUGACUCAGGACCAGCACAACCACUUGAGCAAAAACUGUUCAAAACGAAGACAGUUGGGGGAAUGGUAUCUACAGAAGAAAUAGAAGCCAGACCACUGCUAUAAAUGUGUACUGAAGAAAACAGCUCCUUCUAUUUGCACCAUGUAAGGACCCAGCAUUUUGUAUUCUGGCAAGACAUCAAAAAAUUUCCUUCCUGUGAAUCGUCUACAACCUGAAAGAGAGAUGUCUCAGAAACAUGUGCCUGCUUCCAAAUA